GGGCCCGCACAAGCGGUGGAGUAUGUGGUUUAAUUCGAUGCAACGCGAAGAACCUUACCAGGGCUUGACAUCCUGCGAACCUCUGUGAAAGCGGAGGGUGCCUUCGGGAGCGCAGUGACAGGUGGUGCAUGGCUGUCGUCAGCUCGUGUCGUGAGAUGUUGGGUUAAGUCCCGCAACGAGCGCAACCCACGUCUUUAGUUGCCAGCAUUUAGUUGGGCACUCUAGAGAGACUGCCGGUGCUAAGCCGGAGGAAGGCGGGGAUGACGUCAAGUCCUCAUGGCCCUUACACGCGGGGCUACACACGUGCUACAAUGGCAGUGACAAUGGGAUAAUCCCCAAAAGCUGUCUCAGUUCAGAUUGUCCUCUGCAACUCGAGGGCAUGAAGUUGGAAUCGCUAGUAAUCG
rnacentral:rRNA from 1 species